UACGUAGGGUGCGAGCGUUAAUCGGAAUUACUGGGCGUAAAGCGUGCGCAGGCGGUUUGCUAAGACCGAUGUGAAAUCCCCGGGCUUAACCUGGGAACUGCAUUGGUGACUGGCAGGCUAGAGUAUGGCAGAGGGGGGUAGAAUUCCACGUGUAGCAGUGAAAUGCGUAGAGAUGUGGAGGAAUACCGAUGGCGAAGGCAGCCCCCUGGGUCAAAACUGACGCUCAUGCACGAAAGGCGUGGGGAGCAAACAGG
rnacentral:rRNA from 1 species